rnacentral:rRNA from 1 species
AGCAGCCGCGGUAAUUCCAGCUCCAAUAGCGUAUAUUAAAGUUGUUGCAGUUAAAAAGCUCGUAGUUGAAUUUCGGAAUCGACGGAUUGGUCGCGCCUUCGGUGUGUACUGGUCUUGCCGGUUUCUCCCUUCUGACGAACCACGAUGUCAUUAAUUUGGUGUCGCGGGGAAUCAGGACUGUUACUUUGAAAAAAUUAGAGUGUUUAAAGCAGGCAUUAGCUUGAAUACAUUAGCAUGGAAUAAUGAAAUAGGACGUUUGAUCUUAUUUUGUUGGUUUCUAGGAUCGACGUAAUGAUUAAUAGGGAUAGUUGGGGGCAUUAGUAUUCAAUUGUCAGAGGUGAAAUUCUUGGAUUUAUUGAAGACUAACUACUGCGAAAGCAUUUGCCAAGGAUGUUUUCAUUAAUCAAGAACGAAAGUUAGGGGAUCGAAGACGAUCAGAUACCGUCGUAGUCUUAACCAUAAACUAUGCCGACUAGGGAUCGGAUGAUGUUAAUUUUUAAUAACUCAUUCGGCGCCUUAC